rnacentral:lncRNA from 1 species
AUGAUUUUGUUGAACAUACCUGGAUUGUUUUACAUUUUUAGGCAGCUUGGAUUAAUUAGGAGAAAAUCAAUUCCACCAGCAAAUGGAAACCUAGGAAGAAGCAAAUCUAAGCAGUUGUUUGACUACUUAAUCAUCAUUGAUUUUGAGUCAACAUGUUGGAAUGAUGGGAAACACCACCGGAGUCAGGAAAUAAUUGAAUUUCCAGCUGUAUUACUGAACACAUCAACUGGAGAGAUUGAAUCUGAGUUCCAUGCUUAUGUUCAGCCUCAGGAACAUCCAAUUCUCUCUGAAUUUUGCAUGGAACUGACAGGCAUAAGGCAGGCUCAGGUUGAUGAAGGAGUCCCUCUGAAGAUUUGUUUAUCUCAGUUCUGUAAAUGGAUUCAGAAGAUUCAGCAACAGAAGAAAAUUAUUUUUGCUACUACAAUAUCAGAUAUUUCCACUUCUAAAGUAAAAUUAUGUGCAUUUGUUACUUGGUCAGACUGGGACUUGGGGGUUUGCCUGGAGUAUGAAUGUAAAAGAAAACAACUGUUAAAACCUGUGUUCCUUAAUUCUUGGAUUGAUCUCAGAGUAACUUACAAGAUUUUCUAUAGAAGAAAACCAAAAGGACUCAGUGGUGCCCUGCAGGAAGUGGGAAUGCAAUUCUCAGGGCGAGAACAUUUUGGGUUGGAUGAUUCUCGGAAUACUGCCCUUCUUGCUUGGAAAAUGAUCAGGGAUGGUUGCUUAAUGAAGAUUACAAGGUCUUUGAACAAGGUUUCCACUAAGAGGAAUGCUAAUAUUUUCACCAGAAAUUUGAAUAUGGAGCAAGUUGAAGAAACAUCAGCCUGUACCAAUAGCACUCAUGAUCCCAGCAUAUAUGGUGGGGAGCCUAAAAAUUCAAUAAAAUCUUACAAGAAAAUUCAAAUGAAGUCAGUUGGUGUGAAUUCUCCUAUAAAGGUACAGCAGGAUCAGUUACAACAAAAGGACAGCAUAAAAGCAGGUCUUUGCAGUGUCAGAGGCUGUUUAUCUCUCUUUAAUGCUACUAAGUCCUGGACUUCUGUGGGGCAAUUGCAGUCUUCCAGCCGGAAUACACCUAUGCAGAAGCAAAUAAACCAACAUCUUGCAUUUAAUACCAAUUCUAAGUCUUCAACAGUUGGUUCAGAACUGGUACCUGUUUCAACUACCAUUUCAUCUUUUAAUAAUGUUUCUGAUAUGGAAGUGAGUUCUGCUCUUGACUGUUUACCUAUGUUGGCUGAUUGGGAGGAUGUAGCUUUAUUGCCAGCAUCUCAGCCCGAGCAAAAUAUAUAUUGUAUACCUCGCGUUAGUGACUCAAAUGUAGACACUUCACUUAAUUCUGGAGAAAAAGUAAUGGUUUUAGAAGAAUCUGAAAUGUUAAGUCAUGAAAACUUUGGAGGCACAGAAGAAACUCCUGAAAAAUCUGUUACCUCUAAGUCUAUUGUAUAUAAGAGUCCCCAUACCACUAUUUAUAAUAUAAAGGAAGCCAAAGAUCCAGGUUCAGAUACUUUUGGCUUUAAAUUACCUGAAUGUAAAUCAAGUAAUUUCAACAGUGUUAAUUCCAAUGUGUCUCAUCCUUUAGUUUUGGGGAAACAUCCUCUUUGUUUAGAUGAUAGUAAAAGGAAUCCAUCCAGUCCUCCACUUUUCCCACCAGCAAAAAAGCAGACUUUCACUAUUCAUGAAGAAAAGCCUGCAUCAUCUAAUGACUCCCCAGGAGCAAUUUCUUCCUGGAAGAUUCUCCCUUCUGUCUUAACUUCUACAGUUAAUCUGCAAGAACCUUGGAAGAGUGGGAAAGUAACACCUCCUUUAUGCAAGUGUGGCCGAAGAUCUAAGAGACUUACUGUUUCUAAUAAUGGACCAAACCAUGGAAAAGUCUUCUAUUGUUGUCCUGUUGGGAAGUACCAAGAAAAGAGAAAAUGUUGUGGUUAUUUCAAGUGGGAACAAACACUUCAAAAGGAAAGAGCAAACAGUAUAGUUCUAUCUCAUUCCCCAGGAGGACUCACUUUUAGUUCUCUAGAAACAAACCUUAUUUAUGACAGAAAUGUAAAUUUCUCUACUGAAAGUUCAUUGAGACUCAGACCUUCAAUGAGAAAUUGACCUUUUUUGUGUCUAAACUAUGUUUUUACUUCACUGUGACUUUUAGUGCAGUAAAGAGAAAAAAAUGUGUAUAGGGCUACAUGUUGUGAGGACUCUGCAUAUCUGAGCUCUGUAAGCUACUCUGGGGCUAUUCAGCACAUUCACACACACACACUGAAAAUAGAAAAAAAUAAUGUCACAGCCUUCUAAUUUCAUUCACCAGUUAUCUAAUUUGUCUUCUCUCCAUGUAUGAAUCCUGAUUGUCCCCUGAAUUUCCACACAUGAGUAUGCUGAUAAUGUUUUAUACUAUUUUAUUUAUAUUUCAUAUAUUAACUGUUACCAAACAUCACAUUUUUUUGAAGAACCACAAAUUAAAACUUGAUAAACUGUAUUUAUUAGAUUAAAUAUAAUAGCAAUAUUAAUACAUGAUAUCCUAUUUAUUUAUAUUGAAUUAUAAUGUCAUACAAUAUUAUAUCAGUUUCAGGAAUACAAUAUAUGAUAUCCUUUUACACUUAGACCUUGAAAUGAAUUUUAAAUUAUUUUUAAAUUGUUUGGAUAACAAUGUGACCAAUAAAAAAUCCCUAGACCAGUUUCA